rnacentral:rRNA from 1 species
UACGAAGGGGGCUAGCGUUGCUCGGAAUGACUGGGCGUAAAGGGCGCGUAGGCGGUUUGUACAGUCAGGUGUGAAAUUCCCGGGCUCAACCUGGGGGCGGCACUUGAGACGUAGGAACUGGAGUGAGGAAGAGGGUCGUGGAAUUCCCAGUGUAGAGGUGAAAUUCGUAGAUAUUGGGAAGAACACCGGUGGCGAAGGCGGCGACCUGGUCCUUUUACUGACGCUGAGGCGCGAAAGCGUGGGGAGCAAACAGGAUUAGAUACCCUGGUAGUCCACGCUGUAAACGAUGUGCGCUGGAUGUUGGACGACCUAGUCGUUCAGUGUCGCAGCUAACGCGAUAAGCGCACCGCCUGGGGAGUACGGCCGCAAGGUUGAA